rnacentral:rRNA from 1 species
GACGAACGCUGGCGGCGUGCUUAACACAUGCAAGUCGAACGGAAAGGCCCUGCUUUUGUGGGGUGCUCGAGUGGCGAACGGGUGAGUAACACGUGAGUAACCUGCCCUUGACUUUGGGAUAACUUCAGGAAACUGGGGCUAUACCGGAAAGGAGCUCCUGCUGCAUGGUGGGGGUUGGAAAGUUUCGGCGGUUGGGGAUGGACUCGCGGCUUAUCAGCUUGUUGGUGGGGUAGUGGCUUACCAAGGCUUUGACGGGUAGCCGGCCUGAGAGGGUGACCGGCCACAUUGGGACUGAGAUACGGCCCAGACUCCUACGGGAGGCAGCAGUGGGGAAUAUUGCACAAUGGGCGGAAGCCUGAUGCAGCAACGCCGCGUGCGGGAUGACGGCCUUCGGGUUGUAAACCGCUUUCGCCUGUGACGAAGCGUGAGUGACGGUAAUGGGUAAAGAAGCACCGGCUAACUACGUG